CUUCGAUUUCUCCAAAUUCCUUCUACCUUCAAUCGCAUCCUCGUUCUCCCCCGAUCUUGACCUCGAUGUUCCAGCAGGAGCGUAUUGUUCCAGAGCCGUUCGCAAUCCCUCGACCUGUAAAUCGAAGAACUUGUGAACAUGGAAUCCAUGGAAAUGGCGAUGGAGUUUGCUGAAGAACAACAUUUAAGGCAAGAAGAUUUGUUGAUCAUUUCCUUCAGUGCUUGGUUUUCUUCUCGCAAUUUCUCCAUUUCCUGACGCUCGAGACUGACCUACAAAAGAGAAACAGAUAAAGGUAGCAAAAACAAGCACAAGAAGAAGAAGAAGAAACAGAGGAGAAAAACUGUUGAAAAAAUGUGCAGAACUGAAAACCUUGAUUUGUGUUCUUCGAUUCUGAAACCAGAACUUGAUUUGCUUAGAAUGAAGACCAAGAUUCUCACUGAGUUUCUGCCUCUGUUUCUCAUCGGGAUGAGGAGACUCUUUAAACACCCUGCAAAUAGUCCUCUAAAUUUGCUUCAAUCUUCUAAAUCCAUUCCCAUUUUCUUUAUAUUUCUUCCAUUAAUCAGUACAAGAAAUGGAGUUCGUUCGUUAACUUUGUUUAAUCUUCCUAUUUCUUCCAUAUAUAAACGAUGAACAGUGUAGAAAUUUGAGUUUCAUACUUCUCC